AUCAGGUUAGACUUAUCUUAGAAAUUAAAAAAAAAAAAGAAAAGAAAAUAGAACAAAGUAAACAAAAUAGUUUUAGCCAAAACUGGUGAAGAUAAACAAAACCCCGAUGGCGGUGCCGGAGUGACAAAAGCCUGCAAACUGAAACGUUCUAGAGCCAUACUCUGAGAGAAAAAAAAAAGAGAGGCGCGUGCAGUGGCGAGGGCUUCUGUUGGAGGAGUGGAGUGGCUCGUUAGGCCACCGAAUCCCAAAAACCUAAUCGUCUUUUUCGAUUUAACAGUCGGUUCCAUCCCUGCCGGUCGUAUCAAAAUGGAACUCUUCGCUGAUAUUGCUCCUAAAACAGCCGAAAAUUUCGGGUCCUGAAAGCAGGGCUGCCUGUUGGUUGCAAGGGUUGUCAAUUUCAUAGGGUUAUUGAAGAUUUUAUGAUUCAAGCUGGAGAUUUUGACAAGUUGGCACACAGUGGACCAACACCAAUAGGUGUCAGCAUGAAUAAUAAUCAAGUAUCCUCAAAUUAAAAGGACACAAGGUGGUAGAAUGUUGCUAUUUGUACCAAAUCUAUGCUAGAGGUAUUCUCUGGCUGCAGACUCCCAGCUAGGUGAAUUGAGAUUUGAUGGAAGCGCGGUUAUUGCAAAUGCUUCUAGCACAUCUCGUGUUUUCACUUGGAUAAGAUUUCUGAAAUAUCUUGUUUUUUAUCAAAUGUGAGUGGCUUGAUGAUAAGCACGUUGUAUUUGGGAGGGUGCUUGGAGAUAGUCUUCUUGUUGUUCGAAAGAUAGAGAAUGUGGCUACUGGACCCAACAACAUGCCAAAACUACCAUGCAUUAUAGCUGAGUUUGGAGAAAUGUAAAACUUGAUAUCAUUAACACAUAUACAGAAGACUAACCAGAAAUGUUGCUGUAACCAUUUUAGAUUUAAUUUCCUCUAGAUCUGUUGAAAUUCAUACAGGGUUUUUCCCCUUUGGCUCAAAAUACUUGAUUAUCAAGAUGUUAGCAUUGCAAUGUUGACAAUGUUCACUCUAUAAUGCUAAAUGCUUGAUUGGAACGAGAUCAUUAAAUAGGAAAUGCAGAUGGUUGAAAGAACUAAAUUGGGCCACUGA